GACGAACGCUGGCGGCGUGCUUAACACAUGCAAGUCGAACGGAAAGGCCCUGCUUUUGUGGGGUGCUCGAGUGGCGAACGGGUGAGUAACACGUGAGUAACCUGCCCUUGACUUUGGGAUAACUUCAGGAAACUGGGGCUAAUACCGGAUAGGAGCUCCUGCUGCUUGGUGGGGGUUGGAAAGUUUCGGCGGUUGGGGAUGGACUCGCGGCUUAUCAGCUUGUUGGUGGGGUAGUGGCUUACCAAGGCUUUGACGGGUAGCCGGCCUGAGAGGGUGACCGGCCACAUUGGGACUGAGAUACGGCCCAGACUCAUACGGGAGGCAGCAGUGGGGAAUAUUGCACAAUGGGCGGAAGCCUGAUGCAGCAACGCCGCGUGCGGGAUGACGGCCUUCGGGUUGUAAACCGCUUUCGCCUGUGACGAAGCGUGAGUGACGGUAAUGGGUAAAGAAGCACCGGCUAACUACGUG
rnacentral:rRNA from 1 species